rnacentral:rRNA from 1 species
UACGGAGGGAGCUAGCGUUAUUCGGAAUUACUGGGCGUAAAGGGAGCGUAGGCGGACAUUUAAGUCAGGGGUGAAAUCCCAGAGCUCAACUCUGGAACUGCCUUUGAUGCUGGGUGUCUUGAGUGUGAGAGAGGUAUGUGGAACUCCGAGUGUAGAGGUGAAAUUCGUAGAUAUUCGGGAGAACACCAGUGGCGAAGGCGACAUACUGGCUCAUUACUGACGCUGAGGCUCGAAAGCGUGGGGAGCAAACAGG